GGUUCCGCCUCCUGCAUUCGCGCAAGCCCUGGCUGUGACAAAGCCUGGCCUCCAGGGGUUGCUGGAAUGCUAGCCGCAGUCACAGAUGCCACAUGCUUACCCAGCGGCCACUUGAAGUCUGGCGGAACACAGGCUCCUGCACUCCUGGGCUGGUCAGUGCGCCCAGGAGUAGGGUGGCGGGCAUCCACUGUGUUCAGCAGCCUUCCUUACAGGUCACAUGUUCAAAGACAAAAUCAUUGACCAUUUCAACAUCAGCUUCCCCAGGUCUGCAGAGUCCUGGUACCAGCUCUCAUGUGGCCCUGCAUCCUCAGCCUGACUCUGAGCACCAUCAAGCAACCUUCCCAGCAAGGGCGGCUGCUCUUCUCAGAGGAACUCAGUUCCAGGAGAAUGGACUCCCCCAGGGCUUACCUUUCGGUGGAAGUGGACCAAGUGCCCGUCCUCUGCAGGCUCAGCGAGAAGAGGAGAAAACCCACACCAACCACAUGGCCUGCCGGGUGGCGCCAAGAGCCAGAGAGCCUGGAUUGGGCUGAGCCUGAAUGUGGGCUUUCUAUGGGCACGUCUGUAGCAUGGGCGCUGGCGUGAUGGACAUGAUGUGCUACAUGUCAUGCACACAGCUUGAGGGUUGACGAAUGUAUCGUGAAAACAUCUUGAUCCUGAGAGUGACAGAUCAUCACCCCCAAACUUCCACGUACCCCCUUUAGAUAAUUUUUUUAAAAAUAUUUUGUUUUAGUUGUAGUUGAGCACAAUACCUUUAUUUUAUUUUUAUGUGGUGCUGAGGAUCGAACCCAAGGCCUCACGUGUGCUAGGUGAGCACUCCCUGUUGAGCCACAAUCCCAGCCCCUUUAAAGAAUUCUUUAAAAAUUUAUUUUUCAUUGACAUAAGUUGUACAUAUUUGCAGGAGGUCAUGUGUGGUAUUUCUCUACACACGCACACGCACACACACACUGUAUAAUAUCGUAUAAUGAUCAACUGGGGCAAAUCUACCUUCUCAAACACACAGUCUUUCUUUGUGGUGAAAACAUUCAAAAUCCUUUCUCUUGCGUCCUGUGCGACAGGAUGCUAGGACCGACCCCUCCCAUCUGCUACAAGACUGUGCUGCCCACCCCCAGCUCCUCUGCCCCUCUGAUAACCACUGCUGUCCUCUCAGCUUCAGUGAGAUCAACUUCAUGGGGUUCCAUGUUUUAAACCUCCCUCUGCACCCCUGUUUCCCCCCACUCCCUUCCACUCCCAGGUAGUCAUCAACCUACUUUCUGUCAUUACCGAUCAGAUUGCAUCUUCACAAAUUUUCUAUAAACGGAAUCAUAUGGUAUGCAUUCAUUUAUGCCUGGCUUCUUUCCCUCAGUGUAAUUAUUUUGAUUUUCUGCAUUUCUGAAUGUAUCAUGUGGAUUUAUCAUAGAUCAUUUAUCCACUUCCCUGUUGAUGGACAUUUGGAUUGUUGCUUUUUUUUUAUUAUUGAAAAAUAGAGCUACUUUGGAGGUUUGUGGGUAAGUAUAUGUGCAGAUACAUAUUUUCACCUAUCAUGGGUAAACAUCUAGGAGUAGAAGGGGGUAUCUGAUGGCAGAUGUGUGCUCAAUGUUAAAUAACUGCUGUUUCCCACAGCUCUUGCUUCACUUUACUUUCCCACCCUCAGCAUGUGAGACUUUGGGUUGCUCCAAACCCUGGCCAAAGCAUGGUGACAUCAGUCUUUUUAAUUCCAGACACACUGAUAGUUAUGGGGUAAUAUUUCUUUGUAAUGUCAUUUGCUUGCAUAAUGAUCGAUAAUGUUGAACAUCUUCUUCUCACUUGCUUAUUUACAUCCAAACAUCAUCUUGGUUGAUGCCUCCUGCAUUAUUUUGACCAUUUAAAAAGUUAGAUUGCUUAUUUUCUUAUUAUUGAGUCUUGAAACUCCUUCUUUCCUUUCCUCCUUUCUUCCUUCCCUCCUUCCUCUCUCACUUUUCCUCAGUACUGGGGAUUGAACUCAGGGGUGCUGUGUCAUGAGCCACAUGACCAGCUCUUUUUACUUUCUAUUUUGAGACAGUUGCUGAAUUGCUGAGGCUGGCCUUGAACCUGCAAUCCUCCCGCCGUAGCCUCUUGACUUGCUGGGAUCCUAUGCAUGCACUGAUGUACUCAGUGGAGGUUUCUUUCUAUGUUCUAAAUGACAGGCCUUUAUCAGCUAUAUGCUUUGCAAAGCUGUUUUCCCAUUUGUGUGGUUUGUAUUUUUAUCUCUUUAACAGUGUCUUUUGAAAAGCAGGGGUUUUACAUUUUGAUGAAGAUGGGUUUAUCAUUUUUCUCUUUUGUGGACUGUGCUUUUUGGUGUCAUAUCUAAGAGACCUUUGCCAGACUGAAGGUUGCACAGAUUUUCUCCAAUGGUUUCUUUUGAAGGCUUAAUGGCUUUAGCUAUCCCAUUCAGGUCUCCAACACCCUAGUUAUAAUUAUUGCAUGCAUUGCAACAAAGAGAACAAGGUUCAUUUUGUUGUGCAAAGUCACCCAGUUUUCCUAGCACCCUUUGUUGAAAAGCCUGCCUUGGCUUCAUGGCAUAGUCCUUGCACCUUUGUUGAAAGUCAACUGACCAUUCGUGUCUAGGCGUGUGCCUCUAUUUCUGGACACUUGUCUGUUCCAUUGGUUUGUUUAUUUGUAGUGCAUUUACACAGCAAUGUACCCAUUUGAUUAGUUUUCAUUUAGUAAGUCCUGAAGUCAAGUAAGUAAAUUCUUUAACUUCAUUUUUUUUUCAAAUUUGUUUUAGCAUUUUAGGUCUUUUGCUCUUAUAUACAUAUGAAUUUUGGAAUCACUCGGUCAAUUUCUCCAAAAGAGUCUUCUGGGAAUAAAUUAGGAGAGGGUUGACUCCAUAAAUAAGUCUGGGGAGAACUGUUUCUGAACGCUGUAGUCUUCUGAUCUGCAAACACAGUCAAUGAACUUCCAAAUGCAGUUUGUCUCUUAAUUUAUUGAGCUUUUCCUUAAUUUCUCUCAGCAGUACUUAUAGUUCACAACAAAACUUGUGCAUUUUUGACAGUCUUAUCCACCAAGAUGAUUUGCAUAUUUGACACAUUAUAAAUGCUUUUUUAAUUUCAAUUUCUCAUUGUUAAUAAUUGGCAUUUAGAAACAUAACAGGGGCUGCCACAGAAGCCUCUGCUGUGCCCUGAGGUCUCUUCUCUGAACAGGAAAUCGGUUACCUCUGAAGGGAAUUCGCAGGCUACCACUAUGGUAUGGUCGCUGCUGCUGAACCGGAAGUCUCCUGUCAAUCAACAGCCACCUGCACCGAUACCGCCAUUGCUGCUGCCUCUCAUUCCGCUGCUGCCAGCCUGAGGUUGUCUGGAGGUCUUCUUUCUGGGUGCUGCUGCCACAGAAGAAACUGCUGCCCGGAUGCAACUGAAGCCAACACUGCUGCUGACGACCGGAGUUAUCCUGAUGAUGCUGCCCACACAGAUGCAGUUGCAGCUGCCGUAGCAGCCACCGUUACUGCUGACCUGCUGCCUGCUGCCAACAACCACCCCCACCCCUCCACCACCACCACUGCCGCCAUGGCCUAGAGGACUGCUGCGGAGGAGACUCCAGGUUUGGUUGCACGUGGCUGCACCCAUUUGGGGACACCAGCCAGGGCCUGGGGCCUGGGUGCCAGCAGGUUUACCACCACAAGAGCCUCUGCCUGGGGACUCCAGCUGGGACCUGCAGAUCCAGUGUGGGGUGCCUGUGGGUUUGGAGGAGCCUGGGGUCUUCCUGCUGAGAGCGCUGGUGGCCCUUGUCUUGCUGCUGCAUCUCGGGGUUGCUCCUUUACAUGAGUGGAUCCCUGGUGGUCUCUCUGCAAGUAGGAGCAGCAUGAGGUCUUGGGCCUGCAGUGUGGCUGAGCCUGAGGUAUCUGAAGCCCAGGUCAGCGGGAUAGAGACUGGGUUUGUGAAGGCUGAUCUGGGUUUGGUUAUCCCGAGAAAUGUCAGAUACAGGGCUGAGAAACUGUUGAACUCUGACAGAGACAGUUCGAUUUUCCAGCAAGAUUUAUUUUAUUUUUUGAUUCACUGAUCUCUCUACCAUAUUUGGAACAGGAUGUUUUUUAUGCAUCAGUGUGCGGAGGACAAUGA